UACGGGGGGGGCAAGCGUUGUUCGGAAUUACUGGGCGUAAAGGGCUCGUAGGCGGCCAACUAAGUCAGACGUGAAAUCCCUCGGCUUAACCGGGGAACUGCGUCUGAUACUGGAUGGCUCGAGUUUGGGAGAGGGAUGCGGAAUUCCAGGUGUAGCGGUGAAAUGCGUAGAUAUCUGGAGGAACACCGGUGGCGAAGGCGGCCUUCUGGACCAAUACUGACGCUCAUGCACCGAAAGCGUGGGGAGCAAACAGGAUUAGAGUACCC
rnacentral:rRNA from 1 species